UUCACUUGAAGGCACUGAGCUGCCGCGAGGUUCCACGUACAAUAUGAUAGGGAUAUCUUUACCAAGACCAGAGUCAGAACUCCAGUGAGAGCUGCAAUACCGUAGCUGCGUUCUGCUGCUACUAAACUUUUGGCAGCUCGAGAUGCGAAUCUCCGACGGUUUGGUAUUGCUACUCUGGAUUUGUUCUCUUUGUUACAACGGAGAAGGAGUCCCUAGCGAUUCAAUCCUGCGAAGGGCAAGAUGUUAUGCAAACUGCUUCACGCGGAAUGGAGUUAAGAAUGAAACAGAGAGUUCUUGCCAAACAAAAGCCUGUAAAGAGUGUUUUGUAUCUUGUGACACGAAAACGACAUUUCCAGACGAGAACUCGUGCAAGGCAAGCUGU